GCGCCGGAAAAACUUCCUGCCGUUUGCGGCGGAUCCCGGGCUGCCUUUUGGGUAGGUUUGACGCUGCGUGGAUAGGGUUGUAGGCUAGACCGGUGUCCGCCACCGCGGAUGGCGAGGGAUCUGAUCGGGCCGGCGCUGCCGCCCGGCUUCAAGGCUCGCGGGACAGCAGAGGACGAGGAGCGAGACCCCAGCCCUGUUGCAGGACCAGCUUUACCCCCUAAUUAUAAAAGCAGUAGCUCAGAGUCAUCAGACAGUGAUGAGGACAGUAGUUCAUUGUACGAAGAAGGAAAUCAAGAAUCUGAAGAAGAUGACUCUGGUCCAAGUGCAAGAAAACAGAGGAGAACUCAGGAUGAUGACGAUGAUGAUGAAGGGUUUUUUGGACCAGCUCUUCCUCCCGGAUUUAAAAAGCAGGAUGAUUCUCCUCCAAGGCCUAUAAUAGGUCCUGCAUUACCACCUGGUUUUAUUAAAUCUACUCAGAAAAGUGACAAAGGCCGAGAUGAUCCAGGACAACAAGUGUCAUCAUAUUUCAACUAUGAGGAAACGGAUAGCAGUGAAGAUGAGGACAUUGUUGGACCCAUGCCUGCAAAAGGACCAGUUAACUACAGCGUCACGACAGAGUUUGAAAAAAGGGCCCAGAGAAUGAAAGAAAAACUGACCAGAGGAGAUGAUAAUUCAUCCAAACCAAUUACAAGAGAGUCAUGGAUGACUGAGCUUCCUCCAGAAAUGAAAGACUUUGGUCUCGGGCCCAGAACUUUUAAGAGACGAGCCGAUGAGAAAUCUGGGGAUCGAUCGGUCUGGACAGACACCCCAGCUGACAGGGAGAGGAGAGCUAAGGAAACACAAGAAGCAAGGAAGUCAUUCAAUAAGAAGGAUGAAGAACAUAUAUUGUCAGGAAGGGAAAAGAGAUUGGCUGAGCAGGUGUCCUCAUACAAUGAAUCAAAAAGAUCAGAAUCUCUUAUGGACAUUCAUCAUAAGAAAUUAAAGACUAAGGCUGCUGAAGAGAAAAAUAAGCCCCAAGAACGAAUACCAUUUGAUCGUGAUAAGGAUCUCAAAGUUAAUCAGUUUGAUGAAGCUCAGAAAAAAGCCCUGAUAAAGAAAUCUAGAGAACUAAACACCAGAUUUUCACACGGCAAAGGCAGUAUGUUUUUAUAAGCCUCAAGAAAAGACAGGAGAGAAGAGGGUCUAGAGAAGAACUGAAUCGAUGAACUCCUGACUACAAAUAUUGAUCGAGCUUCCCAUGGUGUGUGAGACACUGGUCUAGAGAUAUAAAAUUUUGACACAGAACUUCUGUGAACCAGCCUCUUGAAUCCCUACCGUGGACUCCGGGUGAGCACCUGCCGUCUACCCAGAUGAGACAGGCCGUUGGCUGGGAGGAAGGGGCCAGAGCCUGGGAGGUUUGGAACGAACACCGAGGGGCAAGUGAGAGCACGCAAAUUGCCAGGGAGGACAAACUGACUCUCCCGCAUCUCCACUCCAGGCCCUGGCUACUGGAGCAGUUCAUCACGGCUGGUGCCAUGCUCUAGGCCUUGGCUGUGAGUCACAUCAACCGCCUCCUCUCCCGUGACCCACAGAUGUCACACGAAGGGAGAUGGCCUGCGGGACCGUGCUGCAGAAAUUGCCUGCUGGCAGUUUUUAGGUGCAAGGCACAGAACCAACUCUGGCAGAGUGAAGGGGCAAAGGGACUCAUCAGAAGGCACUGGAGAGCCGGCAGGAUCCCUGGGAGAGCCAGAACCAGGCGCCGAGGCUCUGCAGUGGGGAACAACGCUCACAACAAGGCUUUAGAAACACUGCUGUUGCUAUGGACACUGGACCCCGCAGGUUCCUCCACUGACAACACUGGGCACCGUAUGCAGCCAAGGUCCCUGUCAUCACCCAACACCAGAACACCUGCUUCUUCCAAGUCCCAGCUUCCUAAUCAAUGUCAAGGCUGGAAGGCAAGUAGGUGAAUGGUCUUCACCUUUGCAGGGAUAAAGGGAUGAAAAGAACCUGAGUCUCCAUCACCAAGAGCCAUCAGACCAGCCCUCGACUGACGCUAGUAUGAAGUUGUGAAGAUACCGUGGUUCUGACUCUUCCUAUGAGUGCCCCAGCACAGCACCUGCUGCUAAGUGGCCACCCUGUGUUUGCUGGAAAAAUGAAACAGAAGGCACAACACUGCACCUUCACCCUCAGCGUGGUUGGAGGACAUUAUAAAUAAAGAUCCCAUGGAGAAGGUUCAUCGUAUCCCCCAGGAAGUCAGCGUAUUGUGAAUUCCAGGCAGCCAAUUUAUGGACUAUGAGUAGGAGAUGCUCUGAAACAGGCAUCGUGGCAGCAGACCUGCAGUUGAAGAAUCCUGCUCGUGAUGGAGUGGCAGAAGCACUUAAGUCAAGCACUUAAUUCAAAGUACUUAACUCAAACGUACUACUCCUUUAUUCGUUCGUCAGAUAAUAGUUAGUCGUCUAUUUCCUUGUUUGUGUUCCUAGAGGGCAGGGUUAUGCUUGCCUUGUGAACCAUUGCAUCCCCAGCACUCAGCAUGAUGCUGCAUAACAUAUUACCUGGAAUAUAAUAGCUUAAAAUAAUGCGCAUUUAUUAUCUCACAGUUUCCACGGAUCAGGACUCUUGGCGUGGCAUAGCUGGCUCCUCUGCCGAGGGUUUCACAAAGCUGCAACCACAGUGGCACCGCCAUGAGAUGGGGUCUCAUUUGAGGCUCCGGGUUCUCUUCGGACCUUCUAUGGUUGCUGGCAGAAUUCAUUUCCUUGCAGUUCUAGAACUCCUAAUGACCUGCUUCCAAGCCAGCAAGAGACUGUUGCUGACACUUUCAGGGCUUUCAUCUGAUUCAGAUCCACCCAGGAUAAUUUCCUUUUUGCUUAACUCAAAAUCAACGGAUUUGCAAAAUCCUUUCAACUUUGCCACAAUACACAACUUCAGCACAGGAGUAACAUUCAUCAUAGUCACAGAUCCUGCCCACCUUCAAAGGGAAGGAUUACACAAGGGUAUGGGUCAUUGGAGGUUAUCUUAGAAUUUUGCCCAAAUCUUGCACUCCAAAAUAUUGGUCGAGUGAGUGUGUGAAAGAAGGAAGGCAGGCAGGCAUCCUGUUUGUCUUCACAAUAACUCUGGGUGUAGGUAGUAUCACCUUUACCUUAUGGAGAAAGACAUUCAAUUCAGAGGCAGCAAAUGAUUUGCCUUCGUUCAAAGACGUGAAAUUGCAGGAUGAGGCUCCAGACUGAAGCCUGAGUCCUUACCCUUUAUGCAGCAAAACACUCUCUGAAACCUCAGUCCUGCCACCCUGUCUCUGGCCAGAGCCCUGACACCAGCAGGGCCAACCUCUCUGCUUCUAUUCACCUGGCAAGAGCAGGCCAUGAGGUGGAGACAGAGGCCCACGGGGCCAGGACACUUCCCGUCCUUGCCAUAGAAGGAUUCCCUGGGCAUCCGUCAGCCCAACAGACUCCAGAGGCCAGUGUGGGCCACGCCAGGGGUUCUGUGCACUGAGGGAGAGCAAAGAUCAGUUUGCUCCUACCCAGAGGUUUUGGCCCCAGUCCAUGCCCAAGACCUUGGCACGUGUAGGUUCUUUUUGUUCCAGCAUUCUCCAGGGGUGGAGAAUGGGAAGCUGGUGAGGGAUGUUUUCUGCACUGCCUCCUCCCUCUCAGAGGCCUAGUAAACUGUUCCCCUUGCUCUAGUGGGAAAGGAGUGUGAACAGUGAUGUCCAGACCACAGAGGACAAGAAUCCGGGGAAUCCCUGGGAGAAGCUAUGGGGUUAGUUCAGACAGCAAUGAUAUACAAGUGAAGAAUUUGUGCAGUGCGUGGCUGGCUCAGUUAAAAGAACAUGCGACCCUUGACCUUGGGGUUGUGAACUUGAGCCCCCUGUUGGGUGUAGAGAUUAAACAAACGUAAAACUUGUUAGAAAACAGCAACAUACUAGGUUUCUCUUUUCAUCUGCUUCCCAUUCACUCCUUUGCCCUUUCCCUCUGACUGUGCACCAGAUAUUCAAUACCUUCUCUGUGUCAGGGCCACCGUGGCUUAUUUUCUUCCCUGCCUCUUAAUUUUUCCUAGUCUACUUGUGAUCUUUAAUAAGCAGUACCCUUUCAUCUGUCUUUGUGUCGCCAGACUUCACAUUUUUACCACAUGGAAACACCGUAUUAUAAAGUCUCUCCACUAUAGUAAAAUCUUCAUAAUGCAUAGGCAAUCAUAUCCCGCCUUGUGGAACCUCACAGCACGCCAGGCAUAAAUCCAAGGUGGAAGAUGUUUGUUUGUAUAUUUUCAUAAUCCACUUUAGGCUUUAAUUACAAUGAGACAAUAAAAGAAAGAUAAGAAGGCAUU